rnacentral:rRNA from 1 species
AUUGAACGCUGGCGGCAGGCUUAACACAUGCAAGUCGAGCGGGGUGAUGGUGCUUGCACUAUCACUUAGCGGCGGACGGGUGAGUAAUGCUUAGGAAUCUGCCUAUUAGUGGGGGACAACAUCUCGAAAGGGAUGCUAAUACCGCAUACGUCCUACGGGAGAAAGCAGGGGAUCACUUGUGACCUUGCGCUAAUAGAUGAGCCUAAGUCGGAUUAGCUAGUUGGUGGGGUAAAGGCCUACCAAGGCGACGAUCUGUAGCGGGUCUGAGAGGAUGAUCCGAGACACCGGGACUGAGACACGGGCCAGAGUCCUACGGGAGGCAGCAGUGGGGAAUAUUGGACAAUGGGGGGAACCCUGCUCCAGCCAUGCCGCGUGUGUGAAGAAGGCCUUAUGGUUGUAAAGCACUUUAAGCGAGGAGGAGGCUCUUUUGGUUAAUACCCAAGAUGAGUGGACGUUACUCGCAGAAUAAGCACCGGCUAACUCUGUGCCAGCCGCCGCGGUAA